rfam:Absidia glauca strain CBS 101.48 genome assembly, contig: contig_558
GGCCUCGUGGCGAAAUGGAUAUCGUAUCAGACUUCGGAUCUGGGGACUGCGGGUUCGAGUCCCGUCGAGGUCG